AACGAACGCUGGCGGCAGGCUUAACACAUGCAAGUCGAACGCCCCGCAAGGGGAGUGGCAGACGGGUGAGUAACGCGUGGGAACAUACCCUUUUCUACGGAAUAGCUCUGGGAAACUGGAAUUAAUACCGUAUACGCCCUACGGGGGAAAGAUUUAUCGGGGAAGGAUUGGCCCGCGUUGGAUUAGCUAGUUGGUGGGGUAAAGGCCUACCAAGGCGACGAUCCAUAGCUGGUCUGAGAGGAUGAUCAGCCACAUUGGGACUGAGACACGGCCCAAACUCCUACGGGAGGUAGCAGUGGGGAAUAUUGGACAAUGGGCGCAAGCCUGAUCCAGCCAUGCCGCGUGAGUGAUGAAGGCCUUAGGGUUGUAAAGCUCUUUCACCGAUGAAGAUAAUGACGGUAGUCGGAGAAGAAGCCCCGGCUAACUUCGUG
rnacentral:rRNA from 1 species